AGAACGAACGCUGGCGGCAUGCCUAAUACAUGCAAGUCGAACGAACACUUCGGUGUUAGUGGCGCACGGGUGCGUGACGCGUGGGAAUCUGCCCUUGGGUUCGGAAUAACAGUUGGAAACGACUGCUAAUACCGGAUGAUAUCGAAAGAUCAAAGAUUUAUCGCCCAGGGAUGAGCCCGCGUAGGAUAGCUAGUUGGUGAGGUAAAGGCUCACCAAGGCGACGAUCCUUAGCUGGUCUGAGAGGAUGAUCAGCCACACGUGGGACUGACGACGACCGGCCAGACCUCCGUACGGGAGCAGCAGGUAGGAAUAGUUGGACAAGUGGGAC
rnacentral:rRNA from 1 species